rnacentral:lncRNA from 1 species
CACAAGUGCUGUUGAGCACUUCUAGCACUGUGUAUUAGGUCAUCCUGAGGCGCUGGAAUAACAAGGGCUAGGAUCUUAGUGGCUUCAGUCACUCAGCUAUUUCGGAGCAUCUCUGAGGAUAAGAAUGAGAAGUGGAAAGCAUGAGCCUGUAGAAGAAACCAUUGAGGAUGGAAUGGUCCAGCGCACAGACAUGGGAUGUUUCUUUAAACACCAAUUUAAAAGGGGACCUUCCUGACCCAGGGGUCUAACCUGCAUCUCCUGCACUUGGUUUCUUUACCACUGAGCCACCUGGGAAGCCCGUCCAGAGAAGACCAAAUGCAAAUUUUAAAGCUCUUGUCAUCAGCCA